UCUUGCCGCCUCGUCGACGCACUCCCUAAGCUGCGGAAAGCUAUUCGUCAGUUCGCGGGAAUUUUUUUUUUUAUCUCCCUCCUGCCGAUUUCUCGAGUUAGUAUUUUUACGGUGCGCUGGAGAGAUCCGUAAGGGCUCGAGAAUUACGUGCGAGGUAUCCGUGUAAUCUCACGUCGUCAGUCGCAUCCCCAACGAGGUAGAAAAUCCUGGCCCUCAAGAAUAUGGAGAGAUUGCUCGAGGACCCCGCGGAUCUAUAGAACUUGUUUUGGGGCCAACAGUAGUCUCUCUAAUUAUACAGACGCUAUUUUGUGUCUUCCGUGCUAGAAUUUUCAAGAAUAUAAAAGGACUUUGCUUGA